GCUGUCUGUGAUGUUAAUAAUCCUUACCUACCUUGUUUGAAUAAUGACUUUGAAAAUAAUAACUUUCUGAGACAUGC